UACGUAGGGGGCAAGCGUUGUCCGGAAUCAUUGGGCGUAAAGCGCGUGUAGGCGGUCCGGUAAGUCCGCUGUGAAAGUCGGGGGCUCAACCCUCGGAUGCCGGUGGAUACUGUCGGGCUUGAGUACGGAAGAGGAGAGUGGAAUUCCUGGUGUAGCGGUGAAAUGCGCAGAGUAUCAGGAAGAACACCCGUGGCGAAGGCGGCUCUCUGGUACGUGACUGACGCUGAGACGCGAAAGCGUGGGGAGCGAACAGG
rnacentral:rRNA from 1 species